GCGCACGGGUGAGUAACACGUGACUAACCUACCCUUGAGUGGGGAAUAACCUAGGGAAACCUGGGCUAAUACCGCAUAACCUACGGCAAAGGAGCGCUUAAGGAGGGGGUCGCGGCAGAUUAGCUAGUUGGCGGGGUAAUGGCCCACCAAGGCAGUGAUCUGUAUCCGGCCUGAGAGGGCGCACGGACACACUGGAACUGAAACACGGUCCAGACUCCUACGGGAGGCAGCAGUGGGGAAUUUUGCGCAAUGGGGGAAACCCUGACGCAGCAACGCCGCGUGGAGGAUGAAGUCCCUUGGGACGUAAACUCCUUUCGACCGGGAAGAUUGACGGUACCGGAAGAAGAAGCCCCGGCUAACUUCGUGCCAGCAGCCGCGGUAAUACGAGGGGGGCAAGCGUUGUUCGGAAUUAUUGGGCGUAAAGGGUGCGUAGGCGGUUCGGUAAGUCUUGUGUGAAAUCUUCGGGCUCAACUCGAAGUCUGCACGAGAAAC
rnacentral:rRNA from 1 species